ACCGCCAAGGUUUGCCGCCCGAUGCCAUUAGGUUGAGGGCACGUCUGCCUGGGUGUCACAUAUCGAAGCCACCUGCCAAUUUCCCUUUGAUUAUUGUGCAGGGUGGAUGUUGGCCUCCCGUGAGCUCUUUUGUCUCAUGGUUGGUUGAAAAUUGAGACCUUGGUAUGGUGUGCCAUGAUAGAUGGUGGUUGUGUGACCCACGAGACCAAUCAUGCGCUACUUUAUUAAAUUUGGCCUCUUUUGCCCAUAUGCGUUUCUAAACGCUCGUGAUGAGACCUCAGGUCAGGCGGGGCUACCCGCUGAAUUUAAGCAUAUCAAUAAGCGGAGGAAAAGAAACUAACUAGGAUUCCCUUAGUAACGGCGAGCGAACCGGGAUAAGCCCACCAUGAGAAUCGGUCGCCCUCGGCGUUCGAAUUGUAUCGAAAAAAACCCUUAAAAUUUUUU
rnacentral:rRNA from 1 species